rnacentral:rRNA from 1 species
AUUGAACGCUGGCGGCAUGCCUUACACAUGCAAGUCGAACGGCAGCACGGGAGCAAUCCUGGCGGCGAGUGGCGAACGGGUGAGUAAUAUAUCGGAACGUGCCCAGUAGUGGGGGAUAGCCCGGCGAAAGCCGGAUUAAUACCGCAUACGACCUACGGGUGAAAGCAGGGGAUCGCAAGACCUUGCGUUAUUGGAGCGGCCGAUAUCAGAUUAGCUAGUUGGAGGGGUAAAAGCCUACCAAGGCGACGAUCUGUAGCUGGUCUGAGAGGACGACCAGCCACACUGGGACUGAGACACGGCCCAGACUCCUACGGGAGGCAGCAGUGGGGAAUUUUGGACAAUGGGCGCAAGCCUGAUCCAGCCAUGCCGCGUGUGGGAAGAAGGCCUUCGGGUUGUAAACCACUUUUGUCAGGGAAGAAACGCUCUGGGCUAAUACCCUGGGGUAAUGACGGUACCUGAAGAAUAAGCACCGGCUAACUACGUGCCAGCCGCCGCCGUAAGAC